AUCCCAGCUAAGCUAAGAAAAGGUGCUUAUCUGAUUCAUGGGAGGCCUAAAGCAAUGCUGGAAGUUUCGCUGAUAAUGCCUUUUUUUUUAUUUCUUUCGGAAGGCAUUUAUUAGUAACUUCAUCACACAUUU